rnacentral:rRNA from 1 species
UACAGAGGGUGCGAGCGUUAAUCGGAAUUACUGGGCGUAAAGCGCGCGUAGGCGGCUUUGCAAGUCGGAUGUGAAAUCCCCAGGCUCAACCUGGGAACUGCAUUCGAGACUGCUUUGCUAGAGUAUGGGAGAGGGAAGUGGAAUUUCCGGUGUAGCGGUGAAAUGCGUAGAUAUCAGGAGGAACACCGGUGGCGAAGGCGGAUCUCUGGGCCGAUACUGACGCUGAGGAGCGAAAGCGUGGGGAGCGAACAGG